UACGAAGGGUGCUAGCGUUGUUCGGAAUCACUGGGCGUAAAGCGCACGUAGGCGGAUUUGUUAGUCAGGGGUGAAAUCCCGGGGCUCAACCUCGGAACUGCCUUUGAUACUGCAGAUCUCGAGUCCGGAAGAGGUGAGUGGAAUUCCUAGUGUAGAGGUGAAAUUCGUAGAUAUUAGGAAGAACACCAGUGGCGAAGGCGGCUCACUGGUCCGGUACUGACGCUGCGGUGCGAAAGCGUGGGUAGCAAACAGG
rnacentral:rRNA from 1 species